rnacentral:rRNA from 1 species
GAUGAACGCUGGCGGCGUGCCUAACACAUGCAAGUCGAGCGAUCUCUUCGGAGAGAGCGGCGGACGGGUGAGUAACGCGUGGGUAACCUGCCCUGUACACACGGAUAACAUACCGAAAGGUAUGCUAAUACGGGAUAAUAUAUAAAAGUCGCAUGGCUUUUAUAUCAAAGCUUUUGCGGUACAGGAUGGACCCGCGUCUGAUUAGCUAGUUGGUAAGGCAACGGCUUACCAAGGCGACGAUCAGUAGCCGACCUGAGAGGGUGAUGGCCACACUGGAACUGAGACACGGUCCAGACUCCUACGGGAGGCAGCAGUGGGGAAUAUUGCACAAUGGGCGAAAGCCUGAUGCAGCAACGCCGCGUGAGCGAUGAAGGCCUUCGGGUCGUAAAGCUCUGUCCUCAAGGAAGAUAAUGACGGUACUUGAGGAGGAAGCCCCGGCUAACUACGUGCCAGCAGCCGCCGUAA